rnacentral:tRNA from 1 species
GGCCCAGUAGUUCAGUUGGUUAGAAUGCCAGCCUGUCACGCUGGAGGUCGACGGUUCGAGUCCGUUCUGGGUCGCCA